rnacentral:ncRNA from 1 species
AGGAGCCGUAUGAGAUGAAAACCUCAUGUACGGUUUUGGAACGGAGAUUUUUUGAAUAGAAUGAAUGACCGUAAC